rnacentral:lncRNA from 1 species
ACAUUCAGAAUAGUUUUCAUGCCAAGAGUAUACCCUGUGAGUAAUGGAAAUGUGUGUUGCUGUGUAUACACUUUAUCUUUGUGCACAGCUUCCGGAAGUGUGACCAGACCGGGCGGUGGGAUGGAAGACCCAUUACAGAGCUUCACAUGCUGUUCCAGGCCUGUUCUAACAGGAUACCAUUGCUUUAAUGAGAGAGAGAGAGAGAACAUGAAAUCUGUGUGGUGAGGAUCUGGGAGAAAAUAGAAGAAGGUAAAAACUAUGAUCACAAUAAAUUGUUUGAAAAAAAUUUUAAUUAAAAAUUUUAAUUAAAAGAUUUGUUGUUGUUUUUUUUAUGUGCACAUGUGUUUUUGUGUGAAAGUGG